ACGUAGGGUGCGAGCGUUAAUCGGAAUUACUGGGCGUAAAGCGUGCGCAGGCGGUUAUGCAAGACAGAUGUGAAAUCCCCGGGCUCAACCUGGGAACUGCAUUAGUGACUGCAUAGCUAGAGUGCGGCAGAGGGGGAUGGAAUUCCGCGUGUAGCAGUGAAAUGCGUAGAUAUCCGGAGGAAUACCAGUGGCGAAGGCGACACGCUGGGCCUGGCCUGACGCUCAGGCACGAAAGCGUGGGGAGCAAACAG
rnacentral:rRNA from 1 species